rnacentral:rRNA from 1 species
CCAUUCAGCGAGGAGCAGGCGCGCAAUUACCCAAUCCUGACUCAGGGAGGUAGUGACAAGAAAUAACAAUAAACCGGCUUAUGCCGGUUUAAUUGGAAUGAGUACAAUUUAAACAUCUUAACGAGGAACAAUUGGAGGGCAAGUCUGGUGCCAGCAGCCGCGGUAAUUCCAGCUCCAAUAGCGUAUACUAAAGUUGUUGCAGUUAAAAAGCUCGUAGUUGGAUUUCUGUGGGGACGGAGCGGCCGGCCGCACAUCGCGGUUCGAGCUAGCGCUUUCCCUACAUCCUGCCGCGAACCGUGCUACCAUUAGUUUGGUGGCGCUGGGGAUCGGCUCGAUUACUUUGAGAAAAAUAGAGUGUUCAAAGCAGGCCACAUGCCUUGAAUAAGUUAGCAUGGAAUAAUAACUAAGGACUUCGGUUCUAUUUUGUUGGUGUUCGGGACUGAAGUAAUGAUUGAUAGGGACAGUUGGGGCGGUCUGUAUUCCAAAGCGAGAGGUGAAAUUCUUAGACCUUCGGAAGACAAACAGCUGCGAAAGCGUUCCGCAAGGAUGUUCCCUUUGAUCAAGAACGAAAGUUGGGGGAUCGAAGACGAUCAGAUACCGUCGUAGUCUCAACUAUAAACUAUACCAGCUAGGGAUCGGCCAACGUUAUUUUAUACCGACUUGGUCGGCACCUUAUGAGAAAUCAAAGCAUCUGGGUUCCGGGGGGAGUAUGGUCGCAAGGCUGAAACUUAAAGGAAUUGACGGAAGGGCACCACCAGCCGUGGAGCCUGUGGCUUAAUUUGACUCAACACGGGAAAACUUACCAGGUCCAGACAUAGUAAGGAUUGACAGAUUGAUAGCUCUUUCUUGAUUCUGUGGGUGGUGGUGCAUGGCCGUUCUUAGUUGGUGGAGUGAUUUGUCUGGUUAAUUCCGUUAACGAACGAGACCCCAGCCUGCUAAAUAGCGCGAGUGAGCUUUGCUCGCUGCGAGCUUCUUAGAGGGACUAUGAUGCGCGAUAGCACAUGGAAGUUUGGGGCAAUAACAGGUCUGUGAUGCCCUUAGAUGUUCUGGGCCGCACACGGGCUACACUGGCGCCUGCAACGAGCAUAUCAGCUGGCCCGAGAGGGUCUUGGCUAAUCUUUUGAACCGGCGCCGUGCUUGGGAUUGACCUUUGCAAUUGUUGGUCAUGCAACGAGGAAUGCCUUGUAAACGCGAGUCAUCAGCUCGCAUUGAAUACGUCCCUGCCCUUUGUACACACCGCCCGUCGCUCCUACCGAUGAAUGUUCCGAUGAAAUUUUCGGAGAGCACCUGUGAACUUGGCUCUGCCUUGCGAACGGGAGGCUCAAAGUCACAUAAAUCUGAACAUUAGA